GGAGACGUGGGUGAGUGGCUGGAAACCAACGGUUUGCUAAACCGUCGUACUGGUAAAUCCGGUACGGAGGGUUCGAAUCCCUCCGUCUCCGCCA
rnacentral:tRNA from 1 species